rnacentral:lncRNA from 1 species
GUACAAAAGGGGGUACAAAGGUACAUUAUUAGGAAAGGGCUCUCACAGCUCACCACUUUCUCUGCUGGAGUGGUUAUUGCCCACUCAGCCUGUUGCUGCCUACUGCUUGGCUGGCUGGCUAGCCACUGAUGUUCCCCACUUGGCUAGCCAGCAGCAUUCUGCUCUUAGCCGGCAGAAUUGCUACUGCACACUCCUCACUGCUGGGAGACUCUCAAAAUAGGGAAGGGAGAUUCUGAGUUGGGAAGGAGCUUCUCUCUGGAAGGGCUUCUUCUUCUGGAAGGGCUUCUACCAUCUACCUGAGUUGCCCUAUUUAUAGGCAACUCCACCUCCUUAGCAUGUGGUGGGAAAUGCUUCACCAAUUUGUGGCCAGAAUUCUCCUUUCAAAAGUUUCAGGGACUAAACCGUAAUUUCAUACCCCUGGAGAAUUUCUAUUGGCCAACCAGCACGUGGAACCUAUGCUGCCUGCUGAGAACCUGUUGCCUUGCUGGUUCCUAAAAGCUUUUGGCCUGUUUUGGCAGACUCCAGCCUAUUUUGGGCGCUUCUGGCCUAUUCCAGAAAUUUCGUGGGCCAACCAGACCCCUCUGACUCCUCCGUAUGCCAACCAGACCUUUCUGGAAGUUUCGUUGGCCAGCCAGAGUCUGCUGGCUCCUUCCCACGUGUCCCAGGCUCUUCUAAAAUCCUUGUUGGCCAACCACGCUUCCACCAAUUUGUUGCAGACAAAAAAAAUCUAUGGUGUUAGGUAAUGUGUAAGUUGGUGUUUGUCUCGAGAAAUCACCAAAAAGGUAAGAUAAUGAGAGAAUUACUAAUUGAGAUAUGUGACGUUAUUUCGGUUUAGCGUGGAGUGAUUUAGCCUAUAGUUUGUGUGUUGAGUGUGAGCUCACCUUAUUCAGUAUUAUCCCUAUCAAAUAAGGAUGUUCGACUAUCAUACUAUCAAAUAAUAGUUAACUCAUCGUAAUUUUUUUCUCUCCUCUUAAAUUCCAAAGAUUUCAACCCACUAUUUUGAAUCCAAAAAUUUCUCUAGUUUUGGCAUCAAACUAGAAUUAAAAAUUGCUUCAUAAAAUAUUUAUAGUUUAAUGAAAUUAAGCAAAACAAAAUCUAAGAAUUGGAGGAUAUUGAAAAGGAUCUCUAGGAAUAUUUUCAUAAAUUUUGGAGAACUAGAAAGAAUUAUUUAGACUAACUAGAGUUUAGAGACCUGAGUUGAAAAUGAAGAUUUUAAUUUGCACUUAAGUUUCUAGUAGGCCCUAGAUGGGCAUUUUGAUAAUUGUUGUGGGUUCAAGACUACCGUGUUGCAAAUUUCUUCCUUCACAUGGGUUUUGAUUUGGUUACAAAGGAAACUCCAUUGAAAUUUCAGCAAAAUUCUAGGAUGUUAUUAUUACUUUUGUAAUUUAUAUAUUUCAUUUGUAGUGGAUUCAGUUCCUCCUUCCCUUUCAAAUUGCACAAAUCUGAAGACUUUGAAUUUGUCCUCCAAUAUGCUUACAGGAAAGGUCCCAAGAUCUUUUGGUGAACUCAGUAGCUUACAAAGAUUGGAUCUCUCCCAUAACCAUGGCACUGGGUGGAUCCUUCUGAGUUGGCAAAUGCAUGCGGUUCACUUGCAAAACAAAUGAGUAGCUGAUUACUUGUACUCUUGCAGCUGAUGGAAUAAUCCGUUGGAGGCGUUUAUUCGCCAGUUGCUUAUCCUGCCAAAAAAAAAAAAAAAAAUCCGAAGAAAAUGGAAAAUUUCCAAACAUUAUUCCACAAAUUCUGGUUGAGAAAAGUGAAAACUGAACCCUGCCCUGUCUGAUUAUUAGCUUUCCAAAGAUGAUUUUGCCUUCAAGCUAAACAAUAACUAGAUUUAAUAAAAUAAGUUCUGCAUUUAAAGAAAUACCUUAAGGGACUAAUGGAAAGGCCAUGAUGAAGUAUGACUAUCAAUCAACUGAGAAGCCCAUAGAAGGGAUGGGUCAGCAUCCUCUUUCACCUUUGGUUGCAGUUGAAAAGAAUUUUGUGACUAUCAUGCUUGCAUAAGAUAAAGUUGAGAUUCCACAGCAGAUACUUUAGGUACAAAUAAAUUAGAUACUAUAAUAACUUAAGAAUUUUAUGACACUUUUAAGUAAAUUAGAUAUUAGUUGUAAACUUGCCUUUACUGAAUCUCAAGAGCACUGGCCAGAACACGCAAAGCUCAGAUGCCUUGGCCCUCCCCCAUGGAUGCUUUCUCUUCUCACACUCCUCACUCAUAUUCUUCUCACCUUCUCCAUAUCAGCAGCGCAUAAAUGGAACACCUUGUGACAUGAAUGCAAAUGUCAGAGGGUGCAGAUAGCUCUGGACAAAGUUCACGUGGACAUGUUCGGCACUUGAGUGCCGAACAUGUCCUCCAUUUAAGGGGUGCAGACAAUUCUGCACCCUUUGUGACAUGAAUGCAAAUGUCAGAGGGUGCAGAAAUCUCUGCACCCGUGGGAAAUUUCACGUGGAAAUGUUCGGCACUUUGUGAGUGCCGAACAUGUCCUCCACACAAUCCUGCACCCUUUGUGACAUGAAUGCAAAUGUCAGAGGGUGCAGAGAUUUGAGUGCCCAACAUGAGCUCCACAUUUGCUCCCGCAACAACCCUCCCACCGCCGAACGGUCUGCAUUUAAAAUAAUUCGGCAGUAAAACUGCCGAACUAUACCCGCGGCCACCUCAAAUUGCUACCUUCUUAUUAUCCUAUCAAGUUUAUUUUCACUCUCGUCUCAAAUUGCUGCCUUCUUAUUAUCUCUAUUAUCAAUUUUAUUUUCACUCUCGUCUCAAAUUCACCUCAAAUUGCUCCGGAUAAGUAGAGAUGUCAAAUGCUAGCAAAAAUUGCCUCCACAAGAAAUGCCCAUCCAUGGAAGACGACUUAAAGAAGGCAGCAGAACAAGGCAUAUUCGAUCCAUUUAAUGAACAUUUAGAUCAUCUUGAUUGCAUAGUCACAGAAAAUGGAAACACGAUACUUCAUGUGCAUCUUCGCAAGUUGCUAGGAAAAAAAUCUGAGGAGUUUAUGAGACGAGUAGUUGGCAAUUGCCCCAAGUUGUUAACGCAGGAAAAUUGCGACGGUAAUGCUCCGUUGCACAUAGCAGCUAGGCAAGGGCGUACCGAUGUAGCGGAGGAGCUAAUUAGACUGGCUGAUGACUUAUAUGGAGGGAAUGUAGAAGCAGUGAGGGAGAUGUUAAGGAAGAAAAAUAAUAAGGAAGAAACGGCCUUGCAUGUCGCAGCACGAAAUGAUAAAAGUGUGGGUGUUGUUAAAGCAAUAUUGAGAAAGGAAGAUACUCAGUUUGAUUGUUAUGUAAAUGAUAAAAGUGUGGGUGUUGUUAAAGCAAUAUUGAGAAAGGAAGAUACUCAGUUUGAUUGUUAUGUAAAUGAUAGUUUGGAAACUCCUCUUGAAUUGGCUAUUGAAAACUCAUGUACACAUAUAGUAGCUGAAUUGUUAAAUCAUUUCGAUUCUCAAUCUCUGUACACAUAUACUCAGGUUCUCGACAUGUUUGAUGGUUCGGUGAUGCAUAAGGCAGUAAAACGCUGGAAUACAGGUAUGAUCAGUAGAUUGUAUUUGUCUAUUAUAUACAGAAGUCAUCAUUUUAAUAUAUAUAUAUAUAUUUGUCCAUUAAUGUCGGAAACGAUGGGUGAAUUCUAAAUUAUACAUAAAAUGUACAAAAACAUCCUAAACUAUAAAACAACGUCUUUAAAUUAUAUUUUUUUUAUACACAGUGGUCUAAAAAUUAAUUUAUUAAUAUAUUUUAGCAUAACACGACCCUUUAUAAUAUACUAACUAAAUUUAUCCUUCUGUUUAGCAAAUUAUUAAAACUAAUAUAUCAUGUAUUUAUACAUGUCGACCCACGUACCAUAAUGAGCCCGACUUAGGUAGCAUUGGAUUAUCUUAUCUGCAAUGCUUAAAGUUCAUGCUUAGUUGCAAGUUGACUACAGCAUUUGAUGUUGGUGACUUUGUUUCAGAGAUAGUACGUUUGCUGUUGGAGAAAGAGAGUGGUUUGGCCAAAAUAGAAAAUGAUAUGGGAUGGACUCCACUUCAUAUUGCUGCAUUUGAAGGUUGUAGCUCAAUGGUGUCAACUCUAUUAAACAAGGACAAAUCUAUUGCCUGCAUUACAACUGGUUGGACAGCUCUUCACAUUGCAGCCUUACGUGGCUUCAAGCACGUAGUGAAUGAGAUUAUUACUAAAUGUCCAGAGUGUUGUGAAAUCACUGACGAUAGAGGCUGGAACGUUCUUCACUUUGCAGUAAUGAGCGAAAAUGAUGAAUUACUGAAAAUGAUCCUUGAAAAUUCAUCGUUGGCUUACCUUAUAAUCGGAGAAGAUAAUGCAGGGCAUACGCCUGUUCAUCUCUUCAAGUCUCUUAAUAUCCCUUUGCCUUCUUU